rnacentral:rRNA from 1 species
CGCGGCCUAUCAGCUUGUUGGUGGGGUAACGGCCUACCAAGGCAACGACGGGUAGCUGGUCUGAGAGGACGAUCAGCCACACUGGGACUGAGACACGGCCCAGACUCCUACGGGAGGCAGCAGUAGGGAAUCUUGCGCAAUGGGCGAAAGCCUGACGCAGCGACGCCGCGUGCGGGAUGAAGGCCUUCGGGUCGUAAACCGCUUUCAGCAGGGACGAAAUUGACGGUACCUGCAGAAGAAGGCCCGGCCAACUACGUGCCAGCAGCCGCGGUGAUACGUAGGGGUCUAGCGUUGUCCGGAAUCAUUGGGCGUAAAGAGCUCGUAGGCGGUUCGGCAAGUCGGAUGUGAAAUCUCCACGCUCAACGUGGAGGGGCCAUUCGAAACUGCUGUGACUCGAGUCCGGUAGGGGAGUUCGGAAUUCCCGGUGUAGCGGUGAAAUGCGCAGAUAUCGGGAGGAACACCAGUGGCGAAGGCGGAACUCUGGGCCGGAACUGACGCUGAGGAGCGAAAGCGUGGGGAGCGAACAGGAUUAGAUACCCUGGUAGUCCACGCCGUAAACGUUGGGCACUAGGUGUGGGACUCUAUCGACGGGUUCCGUGCCGUAGCUAACGCAUUAAGUGCCCCGCCUGGGGAGUAC